rnacentral:rRNA from 1 species
AUGAAAGAUCAAUUCGCCGGCCUUCCUAGUGAAGAUGCCGCUACCCAUCUAAAUAGCUUUGUUGAUUUGUGUGAUAUGCAAAAGAAGAAAGAUGUGGAUAAUGAUAUUGUUAAAUUGAAGCUAUUUCCGCUUUCGCUUAGAGAUCGCGCUAAAACUUGGUUUUCGUCUUUGCCUAAAAAUAGUAUUGAUUCUUGGAAUAAGUGCAAAGAUGCUUUUAUCUCUAAGUAUUUCCCUCCCGCUAAGAUCAUCUCUCUUAGAAACGAUAUUAUGAAUUUUAAGCAACUUGAUCAUGAACAUGUUGCACAAGCUUGGGAGAGGAUGAAAUUAAUGAUACGUAAUUUCCCUACUCAUGUUUGA